GAGUUUGAUCCUGGCUCAGGACGAACGCUGGCGGCGUGUCUAAGGCAUGCAAGUCGAACGACGGAUCUUACUUCGGUAAGAUUACGAGUGGCAAACGGGAGCGUAACACAUUGGUAACCUACCUCUAAGUCGGGGAUAGCCCACUGAAAAGUGGAUUAAUACCCGAUAGUCAUGGGGGGACAUAAGUCAUUCCCAUGUAAAGAUUUCUCGCUUAGAGAGGGGCCUAUGGCCUAUCAGCUUGUUGGUGAGGUAAAAGCUCACCAAGGCUAUGACGGGUAGGGGACGUGAGAGCGUGACCCCCCUCACUGGGACUGAGACACUGCCCAGACUCCUACGGGAGGCUGCAGUCAAGAAUAUUCCACAAUGCGCGAAAGCGUGAUGGAGCGACGCCGCGUGCAGGAUGACGGCCUUCGGGUUGUAAACUGCUUUUCUUGGAGAAGAAUUCGUGACGGUACCCAAGGAAUAAGGGGUGGCUAACUCCGUGCCAGAAGCCUCGGUAAUGCGGAGGCCCCAAGUGUUGUCCGGAUUUAUUGGGCGUAAAGCGUCCGCAGGCGGUUUAAUAAGUUGACGGUCAAAUCUCAGCGCUUAACGUUGAGACCGCCGUCAAGACUGUUAGACUAGAGGUUGGGAGAGGUAAGCGGAACUACCGGUGUAGUCGUAAUAAGCGUUGAUAUCGGUAGGAACACCAAAGGCGAAGGCAGCUUACUGGAACAAACCUGACGCUCAGGGACGAAAGCGUGGGUAGCGAAUGGGAUUAGAUACCCCAGUAGUCCACGCCCUAAACGAUGUGCACUAGGUAUUGGCAGUAUCGACCCUGUCAGUGCCGUUCAAAAAAGCUAACGCGUUAAGUGCACCGCCUGGGGAGUACGGCCGCAAGGCUAAAACUCAAAGGAAUAGACGGGGACCCGCACAAGCGGUGGAACAUGUGGUUUAAUUCGAUGGUAAGCGAGAAACCUUACCUGGGCUCAACUACUAGCUGCAUGGUACUGGAAACAGAACCAGCCUUCGAGGGUGCUAGAUAGGUGUUGCAUGGUUGCCGUCAGCUCGUGCCGUGAGGUGUACCGUUAAGUCGGGAAACGAGCGCAACCCUCGUGGUGUGUUAAAUCGCACACACCAGACUGCCCGCGCAAGCGGGAGGAAGGGGAGGACGACGUCAAAUCAGCAUGACUCUUACGUCCAGGGCUACACACAUGUUACAAUGGCCGGUACAAAGGGUAGCGAAACCGUGAGGUGGAGCCAAUCCCAUCAAAGCCGGUCUCAGUUCGGAUUGAAGGCUGCAACUCGCCUUCAUGAAGUCGGAAUCGCUAGUAAACGUGCAUCAGCUACGGCACGUUGAAUACGUUCUCGGGUCUUGUACACACUGCCCGUC
rnacentral:rRNA from 1 species